rnacentral:rRNA from 1 species
ACGGAAGGCAGCAGUGGGGAAUAUUGCACAAUGGGGGAAACCCUGAUGCAGCGACGCCGCGUGAGUGAAGAAGUUAUUCGUAAUGUAAAGCUCUAUCAGCAGGGAAGAAAAUGACGGUACCUGACUAGGAAGCCCCGGCUAACUACGUGCCAGCAGCCGCGGUAAUACGUAGGGGGCAAGCGUUAUCCGGAUUUACUGGGUGUAAAGGGAGCGUAGACGGUCUGGCAAGUCUGAUGUGAAAGGCAGGGGCUCAACUCCUGGACUGCAUUGGAAACUGUCAGUCUUGAGUGUCGGAGAGGUAAGCGGAAUUCCUAGUGUAGCGGUGAAAUGCGUAGAUAUUAGGAGGAACACCAGUGGCGAAGGCGGCUUACUGGACGAUAACUGACGUUGAGGCUCGAAAGCGUGGGGAGCAAACAGGAUUAGAUACCCUGGUA